AGUGAACGCUGGCGGUAGGCCUAACACAUGCAAGUCGAACGGCAGCACAGUAAGAGCUUGCUCUUACGGGUGGCGAGUGGCGGACGGGUGAGGAAUACAUCGGAAUCUACUUUUUCGUGGGGGAUAACGUAGGGAAACUUACGCUAAUACCGCAUACGACCUACGGGUGAAAGCAGGGGAUCUUCGGAACUUGCGCGAUUGAUUGAGCCGAUGUCGGAAUAGCUAGUUGGCGGGGUAAAGGCCCACCAAGGCGACGAUCCGUAGCUGGUCUGAGAGGAUGAUCGGCCACACUGGAACUGAGACACGGUCCAGACUCCUACGGGAGGCAGCAGUAGGGAAUAUUGGACAAUGGGCGCAAGCCUGAUCCAGCCAUACCGCGUGAGUGAAGAAGGCCUUCGGGUUGUAAAGCCCUUUUGUUGGGAAAGAAAAGCAGCAGGUUAAUACCCCGCUGUUCUGACGGUACCCAAAGAAUAAGCACCGGCUAACUUCGUG
rnacentral:rRNA from 1 species